rnacentral:rRNA from 1 species
CGCGUGGGUAACCUGCCUCAUACAGGGGAAUAGCAGCUGGAAACGGCUGAUAAAACCGCAUAAGCGCACAGUGCCGCAUGGCACAGUGUGAAAAACUCCGGUGGUAUGAGAUGGACCCGCGUCUGAUUAGCUGGUUGGCGGGGUAACGGCCCACCAAGGCGACGAUCAGUAGCCGGCCUGAGAGGGUGAUCGGCCACAUUGGGACUGAGACACGGCCCAA